rnacentral:rRNA from 1 species
AGAGUUUGAUCCUGGCUCAGAAUGAACGUUGGCGGCGUGGAUUAGGCAUGCGAGUCGUGCGAGAAUCGUAGCAAUACGAGGAAAGCGGCGAAAGGGAGAGGAAUACGUAGAAAUCUACCCUCGGGACUGGGAUAGCGGCGGGAAACUGCCGGUAAUACCAGAUAAUGUUUCCGAACCAAAGGUGUGAUUCCGCCUGAGGAUGAGUCUACGUCCUAUUAGCUAGUUGGCGGGGUAAUGGCCCACCAAGGCGACGAUGGGUAGCAGGUGUGAGAGCAUGACCUGCCUCAUUGGGACUGAGACACUGCCCAGACACCUACGGGUGGCUGCAGUCGAGAAUCUUCGGCAAUGGACGAAAGUCUGACCGAGCGACGCCGCGUGCGGGAUGAAGGCCUUCGGGUUGUAAACCGCUGUCGUAGGGAACCAAAUUCACGGGGGUUCUCCCCUGUGAUUGAGAGAACCUAGGAGGAAGGAGAGGCUAAGCUCGUGCCAGCAGCCGCGGUAAGACGAGCUCUCCAAACGUUAUUCGGUAUCACUGGGCUUAAAGAGUUCGUAGGCGGUCCCGUAGGUGAGGUGUGAAAUCCCUCGGCUCAACCGAGGAAUUGCGCUUCAAACCGUGGGACUAGAGGGAGACAGAGGUAGGCGGAACAGAUGGUGGAGCGGUGAAAUGCGUUGAUAUCAUCUGGAACACCGGUGGCGAAAGCGGCCUACUGGGUCUCAUCUGACGCUGAGGAACGAAAGCUAGGGUAGCGAACGGGAUUAGAUACCCCGGUAGU